ensembl:misc_RNA 7SK 7SK RNA
GGAUGUGAGGGCAAUCUGUCUGUGACUUCUGUCAUCCCAUUGAUCCUGAGGGUUGAUAUGGCUGUUAUGGCUGGUUAGGUGGGUGUCCCCUUUCUCCCAUCACUGCUCCUUUUGUGUAUCUCCUGAAACUGUGUGCUUGAUCAAAGACGACCACCAUUCCUGAUAGAGGAGGACUUUUUCUUCAGUCAGGGAUAUUUGAGUAGCUAGCCACACUCACCUGCUGGAACCUCCAAACAAGCUCCCAAAUAGGUUUUUAAUGAAGGUCUUAAUCUGAUGCUUUACUUGUUAAAGUUGUUUAAAUAAGAGUAGUCUU